UGUUGAUGGCUGGACAUUGCAUCAUCGUAGAAAACUUGGAGGCCAGUGAGGACAAAAAUAAAAAGUUAUAAGACUUUGAAAUAUGUGGAUUUUAGGGUUAUCUUUGGUGCCCCCUAGAACCUAAACCGUGGGGUGCAAUGUCAUGAUUUGAAUAACUUUCAAUGGCCAUGGGGUGUAGAUUGGCCUGAGCAAAUGUGGUGCCAGUGGAACGAAAGCCUUCGGAGGAGUUAGCGAAAUUCCAAUGUGUGCGGAUCGGCAAAAAAUGCGAAAUAACCCUUUAACCGUACAUUUG